rnacentral:rRNA from 1 species
GGUUGAUCCUGCCAGUAGUCAUAUGCUUGUUUUAAAGAUUAAGCCAUGCAUGUGUAAGUAUAGAGCAUUUCUAGCUUGAAACUGCGAACGGCUCAUUAAAUCAGUUAUAAUCUACUUGGUUAUAAAAUCUACUUGGAUAACCGUAGUAAUUCUAAGGCUAAUACAUGCAAAAGUUCCUGACGUAAGAAGGGAAGUAUUUAUUAGAUCCAAAAUCAAUGGGAAGGGAUAAAACUCUUCUCUAUAAAUGAUGAUUCAUAAUAACUAGAUGAAGCGCAAUUUCUUAUGAAUGGCG